rnacentral:lncRNA from 1 species
ACUGAUCAGUACAACCAAGUUCUAGCCCCAGAAGAACAGCAGACCUGUGCGUGUGGGCCUUCAGGCUGACACCUGAGCCCAGGCUCCUUGCACCCCACAGGUGAGAGUGUCAGGCAUUAUCCUGGAGAAAAUAGCCAAAGGCAUGGCGUCCUGAGCCAUCAGACGUGAUCCAGAGCAUGGCCUUGGUCACGCCUUUGCUGGGCGGGGCCGGGCCAUCGCCGAAAAACAGAAUGGCCCGAGUGCACAGGAAUGGACCUUCGGUCCUGCACAAGUUCCUCCUCUCCUGCUGCUGACCACGCCUCGCUUCCUCCCUCCUCUCCCUCAGGACCUCUGCACCCCCCUCUACUCACCACACCACAACUCAAAGUGUGGUCCUUGCAUGGUCACUUGGAUGGUAAGCCCUAGUGUUCCUGACAAAGCUUCCAGUCUGAAGAUCAAGGGACCC